UACAGAGGGUGCGAGCGUUGUCCGGAAUCACUGGGCGUAAAGGGCGCGUAGGUGGUGGCUUAAGCGUGCGGUGAAAGCUCGGAGCUCAACUCCGAGUCGGCCGUGCGAACUGGGCUCACUGGAGCAUAGUAGAGGCAGGUGGAAUUCCGGGUGUAGCGGUGGAAUGCGUAGAGAUCCGGAAGAACACCGGUGGCGAAGGCGGCCUGCUGGGCGUAUGGCUGACACUGAGGCGCGACAGCGUGGGGAGCAAACAGG
rnacentral:rRNA from 1 species